rnacentral:rRNA from 1 species
UGGGGAAUCUUGCACAAUGGGGGCAACCCUGAUGCAGCGACGCCGCGUGAGCGAUGAAGCCCUUCGGGGCGUAAAGCUCUUUCGACCGGAACGAUAAGGACGGUACCUCAGGAAUAAGUCUCGGCUAACUACGUGCCAGCAGCCGCGGUAAAACGUAGGAGGCGAGCGUUAUCCGGAUUUACUGGGCGUAAAGCGCACGCAGGCGGCUCUGUUAGUCGGACGUGAAAGCUCUCGGCUUAACCGGGAGAGGCCGUUCGAUACUGCGGGGCUUGAGGUAGGGAGAGGAAUGCGGAAUUCCCGGUGUAGUGGUGGAAUGCGUAGAUAUCGGGAGGAGCACCUGUGGCGAAAGCGGCAUUCUGGCCCUCACCUGACGCUGAGGUGCGAAAGCGUGGGUAGCAAACA